UCCUGGUUCAUGGACAUUUCUAGCAUGCCUGGCUUAUAUCCAGUCUCUGAAAGCCUGACCAGAUUAGAAGACAGCACUUCCAUUCUGUGGAGACAUCCAACCUGAGGGCAGUGCUCCAAGCAAGCAAGUGGUGCUAGCCAACCUCAGUCAGCCAGUGGCAGGACACCUACAAGUGACAACCAGGAGCAUGGGGAGACGGGGAGAAGGAAGAUGGAGGUAAAAAAGUGACUGUCCCAGUGCCAGGCUGGAACAGCAGUGUUAGCCUGGGUCUCCUGGCAAGCAGAAUCCAGCUGGGAGCUGUUCCGCUCACUGCUCAUGGGUUAGGUUUCCCUCCUGUGUACCUUCUGCCUCCAGCCUUUGCCUGAUCUUAUGUUCAGAUGUAGCUGGGGGGACUCCCAGGCCCAAGGAAUUCAGGUUUUUUUUCAACACGAAAUUGGAGCACAAACAAGGCACUGUUUUCCCCCCUAUUGUUUGAAGGACUUAUCCUUGUUCAGGCUCCCCUCCCAUCACAUUCAGCCCAUCAGCUCCAGCUAUUUCAUAUUGGCUUAAUCACCUGUCAGCUAUACACUUUACCUGCUCCUUUCUUUCAUCCUUUCUAUAGCCAAUUUUAAUGUUGAUAUAAAUUAUGCAGAACAGAAAAAAUACAACCACAGUAGCAUUAUCUCAUAAAUAAGCAUUAUAAACUGAGCUCUCAGCAUGAACUGUUUUCCCCUGAACUGUUUCCCAAACUGCAAAUGUUCUGCAGACAGGGAAACAGUCCUUCAUUUCAAAUUAGACAGCACAUAUUCAUGAACUGAAAAACCUGGGAAAAAAUGGUUCAAGUAAACAGAAAUGGCUUAUUUCAAUGAUUUCAAAAUUCAGUGCAUAACAACAGUCCUUUUAUAGACUCCCAUGGUAAUGAAGUGUGUGGAAGCAGCCCUUUCCUAAUCAGUUGUGAACCUGUUUGCCAGAUGCAAUCAAAUGAGAAGGAAGUUUAGUGAACCCCUGGGGGGAUGAAGUUCCCUUAGGCUUCCCAUGGUUGGGUGAAGACGUGGAAAGGAAACUUGUGCUAUGUGUAAGUGUCCAGGCACAGGGAAGCCUGGCAUGUGACUUCAUGCACAGAGUGCAUGGAAAAGCUCCAACAGCCCCAAACAUUUCCAGCUGGUCUCCAGAUCUAUAUCAAAGAAGAAGCCAGCUGAAACCACAUGCUUCACUGUGCCCACUUAGUGCCUGGGGAAUAACACACGGAGAACAUUUUCUCUUGAAUGCUUCUGAUCAUUUCUAAUCAUUAACUCAGAAAUGCUGAAAGGUUCAGAGAAGGAAAUGCAGAAAGACUCUCGGUGCGACCUCAGGUCUGGCAUUUGGCAAAUCAUAAUAAUGAGGCAAUUAUGAUUGAUAUGGUUUAGUUUUUAUGGACCCUGGUUAAAUGUCAUUCAUUUUUUUUAAGUGUAAAGAGCACUGAGUUACAUCAUACCCUCAUGAAGAUGUCUUUAAAAAUAAUGCCCCUCCAUGCCAGCUGUGCUGAGGUGUGGUAGGACUGUAUUUGCACUGCCUCUGGUAACUCAGCUCAGGUCUGUGGCUCAAACAGCUCAGACUUGUGCAUUCGUUUUCUUUCUGGAGUGGCCAAGCCUGAACUCCCCAUUGAUCCUUGGAAACGCUGAAAUUCUCUGCCUAGAGAAUCCAUCAUCCCAUUCCUGAUGUGCGCCAGAGCAUGGACCAACCUCCAGGCUUUGCCAGAGGCCUAGAAAGGGGGUCAGAUAGCAUUGACUGAGGGGUGCAUUUUGAACCCUGGGACUUCUGAGCAGAUCACAAGCAGCUAUUGCUUAUUUUGAGGAGAGGUAUAAUUAUCAUUCCUAUCCAAUACAGAGGAAUUGUAGUCACAGAAAACCAUUUUUCCCAUUGUCACAUUUGAAAUGAAUGACAGUCUCUAGCUCUAUUCAUGACCUUUGGCUCUUGGGGAGGCUGUUCCCUGGCACCCUUCAGCAGUGUUGCAAUUCUCUGUGCUCUGGUAGGUGGUCUAAAGGGAUGCUGCUAUGAUACUUUUUACAAGAGGCUGUAAAUGAUUCACUACUAUUCAAGGGUAUUUAAAUCUCAUGCUUCUGGCCCAUCAACUGGAGCCAGGCAGAGCAGAAGGAAAUUCCUACACAUGCAUUUUCUAAACCCACCGGGUUGUGUGGGCACUUGUUUUUAACACUUCUACAAGUGGGUGUUCAAGGCUGGGCAGUGCCAGAGGUAGCUGUGAUGCACUGGUCUGCACAGCUGUAAUGGUUUGGGUGUUGCUGAAGGGAAGAAGCCUUGCUUUGGCUGUGUUUGAGUUUCAAACCUUCCUUUGCCAGGUCUGCGCCCUGUCACUGGCACAGUAUGAGGAAUCCUCUGUCCUGUCUCAGGCUGUUGAUCCACACUGCAGGCUGAAAAUGCUGCUGCUGUUCACAUCUCCCUCAGGGAAGCUGUGACUGAGUUCAUGUUUGUGCCUUGUCCAGCAUCCUGCAUUGACAAGUAUGUUGCCUUGUAAGGUGUACUGGGAGGGAGAGACUUCCAGUACUUGUACUUCUACAAACAGCAUGAGGUGCUGGCACCUCAGGAUGGGACUCUGGGCUCUUAGCACUUAUACAACGUGCUUGGGUCUGGGAUGGGCUCAUGUGCCAAAUGGGCCUCCAAGCCUGUUCAGAGACAGGCAUCUCUUGUCUUGCAGAAGAUGAAGGGUGAAUAAUCUAAUGACUGAUUUACCAUGCAAGACAUUUAACACCAUUAUGAAUUUUGAGUUUUGCAGUAAAUUAUAAAAUAGAUUACUAAAGACAAAUAGAUAGCAAGCAUUACUAUUUAAUUAUAUUAAUAUACAAUUAUUAUUAUGUAAGUUAUAAAUAUUUCUAUAAAUAAGUAUAUAAAUAUAUUUAAAAGCUCGUCCUUGUAUGCAAGAAUAAAUAUUUAUUAGUAAUCCACGCAAUAAGGUGUAUUUUAAAAAUAAUGUUAUUUAUAUAUUGCAUUAUGUUACUAGAAUGUUAAUAACUCUUCCCAUGAAACACAGGAUAGGGAAGAGAAAAGGAGAGACUAACAACUCCCUGCAGUGUUGUGCAUAAAAAGUACUUGUAUUCAUUUUCUGGUGUUUGCCAAGAUUGCUGUCUUUGCUUUGAGAUGGAAUUAAAAUAAUACAAUACAUUCAUAAAUGAAAAAAAAGAAGUGUUUUCCAGAGCCAUACAAAGAGGCUGAUGCUUCUAGAGGAAUAAGAAUGUUGUUUGCAAUGCUUUUAUUUCUAUUCUCCUCAUUCUGAUAUUCUUGUCAAGCUUAUAAACUUGCAAACAAUAUAACACAGCUGAUGAAUCUUGACCAAAUUAUUUUUAUUCUAUUUUCAAAGAUAACUGGGCAAGUUAAAAAAGAAAAAUUAAAAUUCGCUAGAAUGUCUUUUCUGUUCUCCCAAGCCUUCUCACCGUGAUUCACAGGGGAGGAUCACAGUGCCAGGAGCACUACGAAUUUCUCUGCAGUUGUGUUAAAAAUUACAAAGUAAGGUUCAUCUGAGACAUUAAUUAAAAACAAAACCAAAAAUAACAACAAAAAAUCCUAAAGCUCCCUGAAAUGCCAUGGCAAUUAUGUACCUAAAUUGAACUUUAAUGAGAGUGCUCAAUUUGUGUUGGUAAUUGUGGUAUCUGUCUAUUUACAAAUGCUAUGUACCUGCUGAUACGCACAGCUGCUGCUGUACAAUUAUUGAUAACUGUCCUCUAACACUUCAGUGAUUGUGUGGCUAUGUUGUUUUUUUGCUCCUAGCAUUUUGGCAGCUGGAAAUUCACAUGCAUGUUACUGGAAGUUUGAGAUGCUUCUUACAAUCUCCCAACAGACUGAUGGAACAACUCAAAAAUUAAAAGAUAUUAACUAGCAGUGACGCUUACCAGAAGGACCAUCCAUAAUCCCAUGAAUGAGGUCUCCAGUCCUCUGGCCCAAGGCUGACUGUCACUUGGAAAACUUGAGUGUACAUCAUGUGUGCCACCAUCCCCAAGAGACCUGAGAAGUGUUUGCAGAGGAAAGGUGUGACUGAGAGCUCAUUAUUUUACAUCAUACUGAAUUCUCAAUUAAGAGAAGAGUUAAAGAAAGAAAACCGUUGAAGAAAAUUUUGCACAAUUAGCAUUGCCUCUAACCAUGCUGCUGCAAAACAAGGGUAUACCACCCACAAGAUAUGUCACUUAGCCCACCUCACACAGGCCUCAGG